rnacentral:lncRNA from 1 species
UUCAUCGGUGCUCUUGUAAUAAUAAGGCAAUGGAGGGUGGUGAAAGGAAUACAUAAGAUCCACCACAUCAUGGUAUUCCUAUGUUAGGUUAAUAUGUGGUUUUGAGCUAUAUGUUGAGUCUAAUCUCAUAAGUUCCUAAAGCAUUCUGACAGUAUUUUUUUCUUUUCUUUUCUCUUUUGUUCUUUUGUAAGACCUCCGUAUGUUGAUUUCUUAGCCGUCAAAACUUUAUUACUCCCCGUCUCAAAUUACUAUCCAUUUUGAUUUUUCUAAGUGCAUAAGAAAAACUACGUAUAGGAACAUGGUAUCUGUUUGUUUAGCACCGCACUUUUAACCUCCGAAGAAACCGCAUCGUCAUCGCGUGCCUUUCUACGAGAUUCUUGUACACCAAAAGUCCGGCGAUCAAUUUUUUUUAACACUAAGCAGAAGCACUGCUGAUUCAUUUAAAAAGAAAUAAGUUCAGGAAGUUCGAUAUCACAUAAAUUGAUGAUCUCAAUGCUCUUAAAUAUUAAAUUAACUAAGAUACACUAACCCAAUUGGCCAUCGAUUUCAACCGCCCCACCUUCAUCG